GCAGACUCACAGAAACAGAUGGCUAGACAUGGAAGAAAGGCUAGAUUUUGAUUUUUUGCUUUAUAAAUUCAGCAAAUUGGGCACAGCAGCAAUAGUCAGAUUCUAUCUGGUUCACUCCCAGCAAACCAGACUCUUGUGGAUCUGCACGGCUUCACGUGGCUUCAUUUCUUUUCCAAGAUGAUCUCAUCUUGCAAAUGGGCUUUCAUCCUGAUCAGGUAAAGAGAAAAGCUGGUGACUUGGCAGGAUUAUUCUUGCCUGUAAGAAUAUGAAUCAGGGCUCCACACUUUCCGGACAUUUAUCUUUGUUUUCGAUCAUUUGAGGCUGAAUCCACACCUUGGCCACUCAUCCCUCCACUGUUCUAUCUUUCCUUGAUAAGAAGAGAGUAAGAAGUAGACGGGCUGUGAGUUAUGUUGUUAGCACGAAGGGCCUUUCUACAUUGUUUUUUCUCUUUUUACAGUUUAUCUUACAUUCCCAGUCAUCCAGCAGAAUUGUAAACUGGUAGUUUGAAGGGGCUGGUACAGCUCUUCUCUCAGAUAGUCCUUAUGCCUCUGACAGAAUGCUUCCUGGCCAUGGGACUGACUGUCGAGAAAGACAAUAUAGCCUGUGGGAUGUGGCUGGUUUGGGAGGUUUUUGAGUCUUGACGCUGUGAUUUGGUGUUAUGUGUUCUUGUCCUCUCUCAACCUAAGUUAUUGAAUUUGCGAAAUGGGGCUAAUAAAGCAUUCAAUUCAGGUUGACAGUAGGCUAGGAGAGCACUGCCACCGUGUCAGCAAGGACAAGGUGUAGCUGCCACACUGCCAAGACCCAGCACCCCCUAAAGUGACUCAGCUAAGAAGGCAGUCCCGGAAGGGCAGCCUAAAUUGUGCCCAAAAGGCACAGAGGUGACCCAGGCUGAUGUUCCAUCAAGCUGUUGGAGCAGCGGGUAGGGGGACCCCUCCCUCAGUGGCUACUCGGGAAGGAGGAGGAAGUAAUGCGCAGGUGCUGAGAUGAUGGCUCCCAUUUCGGACCUGACAUGCAGGAUUUCUGUGACUAUCCGCAAGUUAUUUCAUGUUUUUAAGCUUCAUUUUCUUCAUCUGCAAAUUGAAACAAUAAAAUCUAUUUGGAGAGUUCCUGAGAAGCUUAAAGUAAUGGAGUGAAAGCAUGACAAGGGUUUAGCAAUGGGCUUAAUAUGUAGCAAGUGCCUAAAAAUGGUAGCUUAAGGCAAACAAGUAGCUGGAAGACAGCAGAGUUUGGGGAGAUGGAUCCAUUCCUGGUAGAACCCCUGCCCAUAAGAGGACAGAUGAAAGGGACGGGCUCUCUCUUUGCGAUGGGUACUAGUGAGCGCCAACAAGCCCAGCCUAGCCAUUGGGGCAUGGGCUCAGGCUCUGUUCUUAAGGUGGCCAUGCUGUUGGACGGAAUUAGGAUGUGGAUAUCAGGCUUCAUCCGGAAAUUCUCAGAGACCUGUAUCUUGUACUAUGUGACAGGAUGCCUGAGGCUUUGCAAGGGAGAGUAUUAUGCUGGUUGGCCUGUCGGAGUCUCCAUGAUGCAUCCCCACCACCCACCUCUCCAGUUCUCAGGGUGAGUUUCCUGUUCAAGCAUUUAGGUGGGGACUGAAUGCAACUUUCGAGAAUUGACUUAGAGCUUGGGGGAACCAGGAGGCAGCUGACACUUCCCCUAGUUGCUCACAACUUGUGUUGACUGAAAAAUACUGCCAUAUAAGUCUCUCCAUGACCUGACUUCUCCCCAUGUUUUUAGCCAGGCUCUUCUUCACAAUUUAAGCUUUGAUGAUAUCCCCAUUUAUACCAUGCUGAUUUAUGCCUCCAUAUCUUUGUUCUUCCCAAACCUUCAGCCUGCAAUGCUUUUCCUGCAUUUCUUCAUCUGGACAGCUUUCAACAUUCCUCAAGGCUCAGCUGAGUAAUCACUUCCUCCAGGAUGCCUUCCCUGAGUCCAUGGGAUAAAAAUAGCAACCAAUUGGGGCGCCUGGGUGGCGCAGUCGGUUAAGCGUCCGACCUCAGCCAGGUCACGAUCUCGCGGUCCGUGAGUUCGAGCCCCGCAUCAGGCUCUGGGCUGAUGGCUCAGAGCCUGGAGCCUGUUUCCGAUUCUGUGUCUCCCUCUCUCUCUGCCCCUCCCCCGUUCAUGCUCUGUCUCUCUCUGUCCCAAAAAUAAAUAAACGUUGAAAAAAAAAUUAAAAAAAAAAUAGCAACCAAUUAAUUAGCACUUAACUGAGUACCAGACAAAUGGAAUAAGCAUUCUAUACUUUGCAUCAUGUAAUACUUCAACAACUCUGAGGAAACAGAACCCUCAGAAAGUUGAGUGGCCUGCUCAUGGUCUACCUUAGCGGCUAAGAUACGUUGGAGCCUGGAUUUUAAGUCAUAUGUGCUAAACCCAAAACUGAUGGUUUCUAAUCACUAUGAUAGGUUGCCUCCCUGCACAUACCUUCUUCAAAAUUCCCACAAACCUCUUUGCAAUUUCUCUCUAAUCAUGUGAAAUGGAAGUCAUUCACCUCUGCUAACUCCUCCUAACAGAAGGAAAUUCCCCCAGGACAAAAAUUCUCUGGAUCUAGCUCUUCAUCUCAUACCUGACAUGGAGUGUUCAUUCAGUAAAGGCUAAAGGCCACGUGAAAUAAAUCAAAGGGUACAAAACUUAUUUUUUAAAUGGUGGUGGAGAGAGAGACAUGGGUUCGGAGGAGCUCCUCGUCUAGCAGGGAAUAGGAAAUGAUCAACACGCAAGGUAAUUCAAUCGGAAAAAAGAAAAUUGCUAAGACAAAUUGGUGCUCAAAAGCUAGAUAAGUGUAUGGAAAAAAGCAAACCUUAACCCUUACCUCAAACUAUAUGACAAAAUUAAUCCAACAGUGAUCACAGAUAUCUCUGAACAUAAAAGCUGAAAAUAUAAGGCUUCUAGAAGGAAACCUAAAAGAAUAUAUUUGCACUAUGUGUUAGGCAAAGAUUUCUCAAGACAAAAAAAAAAAGCACUAAAUUAUAAAACAAAUUAUAUUAGACUUAAGAAAAAAUAAUCAUGGGGUGUCUGGGUGGCUCAGUUGGUUAAACAUCUGACUCUUGGUUUCAGCUCAGGUCAUGAUCUCACAGUUUCGUGAGUUCGAGCCCCACAUAGGGCUGACAGCGGGAACUGCUUGGGAUUCUCUUUCUCCCUCUCUCUCUCUGCCCCUCCCUCACUCACACACUCUCUCCCUCUCACUCUCUUCCUCAAAAUAAAUAAAUAAACUUUAAAAAAUUAAAAAAAUAAAAAUAAAUAAAUAAUUCCUAUAAUUAGGUAAGGAAAAUAUAAAGAUAAACAACCCAAUAAAAAAAAUGGGCAACAAACUUGACCAGGCACUUCACAGAGGAAGAUUUGGAAAAGACUAAUAAGUACAGGAAAUACGAUCAAGUUCAUUAAAUUAAUUCAAACUAAAAUCACAAUGAUUUCACAUCUAUGAGAAUGGCUAAAAUGAAAAAACUGCUAAUACUAAAUGUUGGCAAGAAUGUGGAGCAAAGAACUAGACUCAUACAUUGCUGGCACAGCCAUUUUGGAAAAUUAUUUGUCAGUUUCUUAUAAAUUUAGAUACUUGCAUUAUGAUCCAGAAAUUCCACUCUUGGGUAUUUACCCCAGACAAAUGAAAACAAAACUCCAUAAAACUACUUGUUUCUGGAAGCUUAUUCGUUAUAGGCGCAAACUGAAAACAAUUCAAAUGUCCAUCAGUAAGAGAAUAGAUAAACAAAUUGUGGUGCAUCCAUUCAAUGGAAUACUACUCAGCAAUAGAAAAGAAAGGACUGCUGUCACAUAUAACAUGGAUGAGUCUCAAAAACAUUAUUUUGACUGAAAGCAGCCAAUCACAAAAGAGUACAUUCUACAUGAUGCUAUGUGUAUGAAAUUCUGAUAUAAGCAACACGAAUCUAUGAUAAUAAAAAUCAGAGUAAGGGUUGCUAUUGGUGGCAGGUUUGGGCUGAGAAAGGGUAUGAGAAAACUUUCUGGAGUGAUGGAAAUGUUCUAGAUCUCGAUCAGGCUGACUACACAGAUAUAUUGAUUUGUCAAAACUCAGAACUGCAGUCUUAAAAAUCUAUUUUUACAAACAGUUUUAGUUCAAAGGAAGAAAUAGAACCACUGUGCUUUGUUCAGAUCACACUUGAAAUACUAUGUUCAGUUUUGAACACAUCUCAAAAACAAUAAAUCAAACUAUGGGUUGCCAGGAUGCAAUGAGAAAGGUAAGGAAUGGGGGAGGUGCAGGCUGGAGAGAAGACAAAGAGGGAGUGUUGUCCUAUUUAAUCAUCGGGAGGAGAGCUGUGUGGUCGAAUGCCUACAUUUAUUCACCGGGUCUCUAAAAGGCAUAACCAGAACCAGGGGGUAAAAAUUACAAAGAGGAAACGUUUUCUAGACGCCAGGAAAUGAGGCUGCAAAGCAAAGCAAAGCUUGGACAGUCAUCAGAAGGUCGCUGACAGAGCCCGGACAAAAGGUGGAGCAGCCUGGACCGCACGCGCUGUAGGGGUGGAGAAGACUGGAAGGGAGGGUGGAUGUGAGAAAAAGCAGGAAGGAGACUGGGACAUAUGACACAUGUGUUGUGUGUGUGUGUGUGUGUGUGUGUGUGAUAUACAAGGGAGAGCAGCGAAUAGAAAAUGACUCUCCCGUGUUUCCGAAGAAGACACCAUUGAUAUUGGUAUGCGUCAUAGAAUCUUAUGAAUCGGGAAAUUGUGUUUAAAACAUUAGACCUUAAAAUUGUGCUAUUGUGUCUCACUAAGCAAUCAAAAUGGAUUUUAAAGAAAAUGCGACCGAGUCACAGAGCUAUUGGAGACAGGAACCAGAAGCCAAACCACCCACCUGCCUAACCUUUAA
rnacentral:lncRNA from 1 species